AAAAUACAUCAAAGUUGUAAAUACUUGAAUAGUAUAUUUUCAGCCAACAAUCACUGAAUUGACAGAAUUUUCAUACAGAGCUCUGUGUACAGUAGUGUUGUCACUAUUAAGACUACUGCUUGAUUUUGUAUAUUUAUUAAAUUUGUCAUGAAGUGAUUUGUUUAUUUUUGUUUUUCUAGUGUAUUGUGUACAGUUUGACUACUUUGACAUUUGUUGAUGUUCUUGAAUUCCAAAGGAUCCUCAACUACCUAUGAUAUAGUAUUGUAUAAUAUUAGAUUUGCAACCCAUGAAAUGUAUAUUUUCUCUGUAGCUGGUACAGUUCAAUGCAGCACAAUCUGAUUGAGCAAAAGGCUCUCUGGCAGUCACCUUAUGACUGGAGGGUUGUGUUUGAGGCUAAUCCCCAGACAGCCUGUCAACGCUCCCUCUGGAGAAAACUGAGUGUUGACCAACUCUUUGGUGUCAUUGAAGUGGUGAUAAUUGAACCGCCCACAAUCUCACCCAGAAUGCCCUUGUUCUGACAAUUGCAGGACCAAAGUCGGUGGUGCAAUCAGCACACCACCAUAGCCCCAGUAGGGUGCAGUGCAACUUAAUGGGCUGGGCUAAGCUGUCAAUUUGUGCCAAUGUGCCUAGCUUGUUGAGAAGUUAAGCUGUGGGUGAGUGGGUGUAUAAAUAAAAGACCACAAGAGUAUUAAAUUGCAUAAAUAUUGCUAUAGCUCUAGAUUUCUUUGAAUGUAAAUACUAGUAGUUUGAGUUGUGUGCAAAAUAAUUAAAUGAUAAAAUUCUCAAGACUUUAGUUUAAAUGUUAUAGGGGUUG